rnacentral:tRNA from 1 species
UAAGAUGGCUGAGUGCUAAGCGGUGGAUUGUAGUCCCAUGAACGGGGGCUAGACUCCCCCUCUUGC